rnacentral:rRNA from 1 species
AGCGAACGCUGGCGGCAGGCCUAACACAUGCAAGUCGAACGAAGUCUUCGGACUUAGUGGCGGACGGGUGAGUAACACGUGGGAACGUGCCCUUUGGUACGGAAUAACUCAGGGAAACUUGAGCUAAUACCGUAUGUGCCCUUCGGGGGAAAGAUUUAUCGCCAUUGGAGCGGCCCGCGUCUGAUUAGCUAGUUGGUGAGGUAAAGGCUCACCAAGGCGACGAUCAGUAGCUGGUCUGAGAGGAUGAUCAGCCACAUUGGGACUGAGACACGGCCCAAACUCCUACGGGAGGCAGCAGUGGGGAAUCUUGCGCAAUGGGCGGAAGCCUGACGCAGCCAUGCCGCGUGAAUGAUGAAGGUCUUAGGAUUGUAAAAUUCUUUCACCGGGGACGAUAAUGACGGUAUCCGGAGAAGAAGCCCCGGCUAACUUCGUGCCAGCCGCCGCAGUAACAC